rnacentral:rRNA from 1 species
UACGGAGGGAGCUAGCGUUGUUCGGAUAUACUAGGCGUAAAGCGCACGUAGGCGGCGCAGCAAGUCAGGGGUGAAAUCCCGGAGCUCAACUCCGGAACUGCCUUUGAAACUGCAGUGCUAGAAUUCUGGAGAGGCGAGUGGAAUUCCGAGUGUAGAGGUGAAAUUCGUAGAUAUUCGGAAGAACACCAGUGGCGAAGGCGACUUACUGGACACAUAUUGACGCUGAGGUGCGAAAGCGUGGGGAGCAAACAGG